AGGGCUGUAGCUCAGUAGUAGAGCAUCUGCUUUGCAUGCAGAAAACCCAGGUUCUGUUCUGGGUAAUUCUA